rnacentral:lncRNA from 1 species
AUUUUAAUAACCAUACAUCAUCAAAUACUUACACAUCACUCAUUAGCAAAAUCAUCAUUACAAACAUACAAAAUAACUAAAUCCUUAUACAUGCCAUAACUCAAACGUGUUUCGAUAUAAAAUACCGAGCAGUUGUAGUUGAUAGUGUGGACGAUCUCCGACUUCUUUAGGAUCCUUGAAGUAGCUUUGCAAUACUAUAAAAGAAAGAGAAAUAAAAAAAGUAAGCAUAAAGCUUAGUAAGUUUACUAGCAAAUAAAUAACAAUAUUUAACUUAAAUAAUUAAACUCAAUGUCUAUAUCUCUAGUUUACUCUUUAGUUAAUCUCAUACUAGUUCUCUUACUUGUUUACUUAGAAUACUUGUGUGCAUAACUUACUCAAUCCUUGCUGCAUCGUUGAACAUCAAUUGAUAGUAUAAUAAGUUCUUAAGUCUUACAACUUACCUGAGCUUGCCAUUUAUGCUUUAAACUGAACUUUCAUGAACAUGAUUCGUUUACAAGCCCGUUGAGCUACAUUGGAAUAAUAAGGAUACUCGGGUCUCUUCUGAUAAUAACAUGCCAAAGCCAUGUCCCAAACAUGGUCUUACAUGGGAUGUUCUCGUGAUGGUGCCCAUGCCAUGUCCCAGACAUGGUCUUAUAGGGGACCUCUCAUCUCGGUGCCAACGCCAUGUCCCAGACAUGGUCUUACAUGGGACCUCUCGUCUCGGUGCCCAUGCCAUGUCCCAGACAUGGUCUUACAUGGGAUCUCUUUACCCAAAUGUCAUGACAUUCGUAUCCAGUACCAUCCUUAUGUAUCAACGGGACUUUUAAAUUUUAAUUCUCUAUCAUUUCAUGCUUGGAUCAUCAUCAAAUAAAUUCACAAAAUAAAUUCAUAAUUGCUGAAAAUUAACAGCAUUAAUAAUAAAUAUUGAAAUAUUGCAUUUAUUUACCGUAAACUUACCUCGGUACCAAUUAUAGCCAAAUUCACCAACUUAGUCUUCAACUUUAUUCUUCCCUUUGUCUAACCUCGAGUUUCGUACUUCUUGAUCUAAAAUAGUAAAUUUAACUUAUUUAAUAAUCACAUUCAUCAAAACAGCCCUCGACUCUAACUUUUUCAAAAUUACAAUUUUGCCCCUAAACUUUUACAUAAUUAUAUUUUUGCCCCAAGGCUCGGAAAUUAAACUUCAUCUCUUAUUCUUAUGUUUUAUAACAUUCUGAACAUUUUUCCCUUCUAUGGCAACAUCAAAUUCUCACUCUAACAUGUACUUAUGAACAUUAAGUAUUUUUACCGAUUAUGUCGUUUUACUCGUUUUCACUUAAAAUCGCUUAGCAAAAGUUGUUUAACAUAAUUUCUAGCUUCAUAUUCUAUCAUAAAACAUCAAAAUAAACACUUUUUACCUAUGGGUAUUUUUCCAAAUAUAAACCCUAGGUUAAAUUAUUGCUAGAAUAAGCUAAAUUAAGCUACCGGGAUCUCAAAAACGUAAAGAACAUUAAAAACGAGGCUUGGGAUCACUUACUAUGGAGCUUGGAAGCUUGAAAACCCUAACUAUGGCUUCCCCCUUGCUGAUUUCGUUCAUAUGAAGAAGAUGAUGAUUUUUGCCAUCUUUUUCCCUUUUAAUUCAUUUUAAUUACUAGAUUACCAAAUUGCCCCUAACUUAAAAAUUUUCUAUUUCACUUAUGUCAUGUCCAUUUUUGUCUACCAAGUUACCAAUGGUAUAAUUAUCAUAUAAAGACCUCCAAUUUAAAGUUUCAUAACAAUUGGACACCUCUAACAUGUAGAACUCAACUUUUUCACUUUUUACAAUUUAGUUCUUUUGACUAAAUUGAGUGCCCAAACGUCGAAAUUUUCGAACGAAAUUUUUAAAAAAUCAUUUUGUGAAAUUGUAGACCAUAAAAAUAUAAGAAAAAUAAAAUUUUUCUCAUCGGAUUUGUGGUCUCGAAACCACUGUUCCGAUAACCUCAAAUUUGGGCCAUUACACAGCAUCUGUGUAUCCUUCGGGCUGAGUCAUAUAGAUCUCCUCUUCUAACUCACCAUGCAAGAAAGCCGUCUUAAAAUCAAGUUGAGCUAGUUCCAAAUUCAACUGUGCUACCAAUGCCAACAAAAUUCUAAUGGAGGAAUGCUUUACAACAGGGGAAAAUACAUCAUUGUAGUCAAUUCCCUCCUUCUGAGCGUAGCCUUUAGCUACCAAUCUUGCCUUGUAGCGAAUAUCCUUCUUGCUAGGAGAUCCAUCUUUCUUUGCGAAUACCCAUUUGCAUCCGAUUUCCCUUUUACGUUUCGGUAAUUGCGUCAACUCCCAAGUAUUGUUCUUCCGGAGAGACUGCAUUUCUUCAUCCAUGGCGCUUUUCCAUUUAUCACUUUCUAAGCUUUGCAUUGCUUCUUGAUAAGUGAUAGGAAUAUCAUCAACAACGGGAAGGGCGUAGGACACCAUAUCAGUAAAUCGAGCAGGUUUACGAAUUUCUCUCCGUGGCCUUACAACUGCAACUGGUUCUGGUGUACUUAGUGGUUCUUGGGUCAGAACCUCUUCAACCUCUAAUUCCUCCAUUGUGGCUGGAGAAUUAGACUUAUUAACUGGGCAAAUCCCCAUCUGCUCAAACUCCACCUGUUUUGGAGUACACUCUACCUGCUGUGGAGUAUUGCUCGUCUGAAUAUCUUUAUCUGCUACCUUUUUCAAUGUGGCAGAUUCAUCAAAGGUAACAUCUCUGCUACAAAUCAUUUUCUUUGUGCUUAAGCACCAAAGACGAAAUCCCUUCACUCCAGAAGUGAUUCCCAUAAAGAGAGCUUUCUUUGCCCUCGGAUCUAACUUUGACUCCUUCACAUGGUAAUAUGCAGUGGAUCCAAACACAUGUAAGGAAUCAUAAUCUGUAGCCGGUUUUCCAGACCAUACCUCCAUAGGAGUUUUUCUUUCUAAUGCAGAUGAUGGCAAACGAUUAACAAGAUGGCCAGCGUAUGUCACAGCCUCAGCCCAAAAUUGCUUGCCCAACCCAGCAUUGGACAACAUACAUCGAACUUUCUCCAGCAAUGUUUGAUUCAUACGCUCUGCCAAUCCAUUCUGCUGUGGUGUAUCCCUAACUGUGAAGUGUCGAACAAUACCAUACUCUUGGCACACAUCGAAGAACGGAUCACUUUUAUAUUCCCCUCCAUUGUCCGUCCUAAGCCGCUUGAUUUUCUUGCCAGUCUGGUUUUCGAUCAUAGUUUUCCAUUUAAGAAAAACUCUAAGCACUUCAUCCUUAGUUCUCAUGGUAUACACCCAAACUCUUCUGGAAAAGUCAUCAACAAAAGUAACAAAGUAGUGUUUUCCUCCCAAUGAAGGUGUCUUGGAAGGCCCCCACACAUUUGAGUGAACAUAUUCCAAAAUACCUUUUGUAUUAUGGAUAGCAGUACCGAAUUUCACUCUCUUUUGCUUUCCCAGAACACAAUGCUCUUAAAAUUUUAAUUUGCAAGCCUUUGCACCUUUCAACAAUCCUUGCUUUGCCAGAAUUUGCAAGGAUUUUUCGCUGGCAUGUCCCAACUUCAUAUGCCACAACUGCAUUGAGUCCAAUUCUUUGUUGCCGGAAGCUGCAGCGACUGCUCCAAUAACUGUACUACCUUGGUAGUAAUACAAGUUAUUUUUCCUGAUGCCCUUCAAUAUCACAAGUGCGCCAGAUGUCACUUUCAAAACCCCAUCUCUCAUAGUAACAACUGAACCAUUGGAUUCCAAGGCUCCCAAUGAGAUGAGAUUUUUCUUCAAACUGGGCACGUACCGAACAUCAGUCAGAACGCUGGUUGAUCCAUCUUUAUUCUUUAAUUGGAUUGAACCUAUCCCAACAGUUUUACAGGCAUUGUCAUUGCCCAUAUAAACAACUCCUCCAUUUAGUUCUACUAAAUCAGAGAACCACUCCCGAUUAGGGGACAUAUGAUAGGUACAACCCGAAUCCAAUAUCCACUCAUAUGAAUGGAACGACGAUGAUGAUGCAACCAGUGAUAGUUCAGAGUCACUAGUAUCAUGCUUAGCAACACAAGCAUCUACAGCAGCUUUUCCCUUAUUCUUCAGCUUUGGACAAUUUUUCUUCCAGUGGCCUUUCUCAUGACAAAAAGCACAUUCAUCUUUUCCGAGUCUGUACUUUGACUUUGAUCUCCCCUUUUGAGUUUUCUUCCGAGUGUAUGAACGACCUCGGACUACUAAAGCUUCUGUAUCUCUGAUUGAGUUUUUCUGUUUGUCCUUCUUUCUCUGUUCAUAACUGUAUAAGGCCGCACAGACUUCGCUCAGAGAUAUAUCACUCCUACCAUGAAGUAGAGUAGUUUCUAGGAACUCAAACUCCUCAGGAAGUGACCCCAACAGCAUCAAAGCCAAAUCUUCAUCUUUGAAUGUCUCAUCCAUAUUCAGCAAAUCAGUGACUAACUGAUUAAAUUUGGUGAUGUGAUCAUUCAUUGUGGUACUUGGGACGUAUGUGAAGCGAAACAGUCUUUUCUUCAAGUGGAGCUUAUUUUGACUGUUUUUCUUCAAAAAAUUUUCUUCAAGUGCCACCCAUAACUUAUUUGCAGAAGUCUCCUUUGAAAAAGCAUACCUCUGCUCUCGAGAAAGACAUGAUCGAAUUGUGCCACAUGCCAACCGAUUGAUCGCCUUCCAAUCUUUCUCCUGUACAUCAUCUGGUUUCUCUUCAUCAAUGGCAAUGUCUAGACCCUGCUGAAAAAGGGCAUCUAGAACCCCACUUUGCCACAUACCAAAAUGGCCCAUGCCAUCAAAGAUCUCCACGGCCAAUCUUACAUUUGCAAUUGUCGGUCUUGUCCACAUGGACGAUGUUGAAGCUCCUACACCGACCGUUUUCUCCAUAAUCUUUCAAUAUACCUAAGGAAAUCUUUUCUGAUGUGGAAGAUCAGUUCAAACUGCAACCACAGAGCAUACUACGAUUAACCUUCGGCUCUUGAUACCACUUGUUGUUCCAAUAGGGUCGGAAGCGUGUAAAUUAUUGUACUAAAAAAUCACACGAAGUUCAAUUCCCAGGGAAGAGAGGUGGAUCACAUGGAUCUCUUAAAUACCAAGUCUUUCCUUAGACAGAAUAUCCCUUCUAUAGUAAUUUAAUAGCACAAUUAAAUACUACUAUUAUACCCUCAAAUAUUGAAAGAAAAAUAGGAAAAGAAAGAACACAAGAGAUUUAACGAGGUUCGGUAAAUUAUACCUACGUCCUCAGGCACUAACACCAGAUGAUAACUUUACUAUCUCCAAAGUAUUACAAACAAAUAGAAUUCCUUAAGAAUUCUCAAAUGGGAGAAGAGAGAAAACUAAGAGAGAAAGAUUGGUUGGGAUGAAUUGAAAUGAGAAAUGAGAAGGCCUAUUUAUAGUUGAGGUUCAAGGACCAAACAAUAAAUAGCCCAUUAUCUCAAGGACCAAAAAAAAAUUAUCCCUUGCCACUUUUCCAAAGUUGGUGGUUGUCAUUAUUGAUUGUCUCCCAUUAAUGUUAAUGGCAACCAUUAUUAAUUGUCUUCCAUUAAUGUUAACAAGUAGAAGUAUAAAAGUGGAAGUAGUGAGAGAUGGGCGCCGCCAAUUUAUAUCAGUCUUUGAAGUUGUCGUGGGUGAUGUUGUAUUCUUGAAAAUUGGUGAUCAAAUUCCAGCGGAUGGAUUGUUCUUAGAUGGACACUCUUUGAAGGUGGAUGAAUCUAGCAUGACCGGUGAAAGUGACCAUGUUGAGAUCAAUGGCAGCAACAAUCCUUUUGUUCUUUCUGGUACAAAGGUCACAAAUGGGUUCGGUUCCAUGCUUGCUACUUCUGUUGGCAUGAAUACGCAAUGGGGGAAGAUGAUGAGUUCCAUAAACAGUGAGUUAGAUGAAGAAACUCCAUUACAGGCUCGCCUCAACAAGCUGACUUCUGCAAUUGGGAAGAUAGGAUUGGCAGUGGCUGUACUUGUUAUUGCAGUGCUGCUUAUUCGUUACUUCACUGGAAACACAAAAGAUGACCAGGGAAACAAAGAAUAUAUUCGAGGCAAGACAAAGUUUGACAGCAUGAUGAACUCAGUCGUGGAGAUAAUUUCAGCAGCAAUUACCAUCGUGGUCGUAGCAAUUCCAGAAGGUCUUCCUUUGGCAGUGACCCUAACUUUGGCCUAUUCUAUGAAGCAAAUGAUGGCUGAUCAUGCAAUGGUCAGAAAACUUUCAGCUUGCGAGACUAUGGGUUCAGCCACAACAAUCUGCACAGAUAAGACAGGUACCCUUACUUUAAAUGAAAUGAAAGUUACGGAGUUUUGGCUAGGGAAAGAAUUAAUGGGGAGUAUUUCCUCAGAAAUAGCACCUAAUGUCCAUAAGUUACUGCAACAAGCGGUUGCUCUCAACACAACCGGUACUGUUUAUAAGCCAAACUCUAGAUCACUUCCUGAAAUUUCUGGUAGUCCAACUGAGAAAGCAAUUCUCUCUUGGGCUGUCUCAGAUUUGGGGAUGAACCUAGAUGACCCAAAGCAAAACUACGAACUCAUCCAAGUAGAGGCCUUCAAUUCAGAGAAGAAGAGGAGUGGAGUUCUGAUAAGGAGGAAGAGUGAGAAUGGCGGUGCUACACAGGUGCACUGGAAGGGUGCUGCUGAGAUGAUCUUGGCCAUGUGCUCACAAUAUUAUGAUAGAAGUGGUGCAGUUAAAGCCAUUGACGAGGAAGAAAGAGUAGAAAUGAGGAAAAUUAUUGAGGAUAUGGCAACCAAAAGCUUGAGGUGCAUAGCAUUUGCACACACAAAAUAUCCAAUAGACAAUGAACGAGUUUUGCAAGAAAGUGGACUCAUCUUGCUAGGGCUGGUAGGUUUGAAAGACCCAUGUCGUCCUGGUGUCAGAACAGCAGUAGAAGCUUGCAUAAAUGCUGGAGUAAACAUCAAGAUGAUAACUGGAGACAAUAUCUUCACAGCAAAGGCUAUAGCAACUGAAUGUGGCAUUUUGCAACCCAAUGAGGAUAUGAGUGAAGCUGUAAUAGAAGGUGUACAGUUCCGAAAUUACUCACCAGAAGAGAGAAUGGCUAAGAUCAACAGAAUUUGUGUAAUGGCCAGAUCCUCACCUUUUGACAAACUUCUGAUAGUACGGUGUCUAAAGCAGAAUGGUCAUGUUGUAGCAGUCACCGGGGACGGCACCAAUGAUGCACCAGCUUUAAAGGAAGCAGAUAUUGGACUUUCGAUGGGAAUCCAAGGAACAGAAGUUGCCAAGGAAAGCUCAGACAUUAUCAUUUUGGAUGAUAACUUUACUUCUGUGGUGACUGUUUUAAGGUGGGGUAGGUGUGUCUUCAACAACAUUCAGAAAUUCAUUCAGUUUCAGCUUACAGUGAAUAUAGCAGCACUAGUCAUCAACUUCAUUGCUGCAAUAUCUUCUGGUGAAGUCCCAUUGACAGCAGUCCAACUAUUGUGGGUGAACUUAAUAAUGGAUACGUUUGGGUCUUUAGCUUUGGCCACUGAGCGACCUACCAAUGAUCUCAUGACAAAGCCACCUGUGGGUCGAUCCAAGCCCCUCAUAUCCAACAUCAUGUGGAGGAACCUCAUUGCUCAAGCCUUGUAUCAGGUUGCAGUUCUACUAACCCUUCAGUUCAGGGGAAAAUUUAUCUUUGAUGUGGAUGAAAAGGUCAAGAACACACUUAUUUUCAACACUUUUGUCCUCUGCCAAGUGUUCAAUGAGUUCAAUGCCAGAAAACUUGAAAAGAAGAAUAUAUUCCAGGGACUACACAAGAAUAAACUCUUUCUAGGGAUCAUUGCCAUAACCAUAAUUCUUCAAGUGGUAAUGGUGGAAUUCUUGAAGAGGUUUGCUAACACUCAGAGGCUGAACUCGGGGCAAUGGGGUACUUGUAUUGGAAUUGCAGCUUUGUCCUGGCCACUUGGCUGGCUAGUUAAGUGGAUUCCAGCAUGAAAAAAAAUCCUCUUCUCGGUCACAAGGCUUUUGCAUCCAAAAAAAAUACCAGUUAGCUCCAAUGAGAUGCUCAUUUUCAUUUAUAUAGAACCUUAGGAAUAUCAGUAUAUAACCUUGGUACAAUUUCUUUUAUUAUUCUAAUGCAGUAUUUUAAUUUCCUUCUGUUCACUAUUUAUCUCGGUUCUAGUUCAUUUUAAGAGUUGAAUUUGUAAGCUUCUAUGUGAACAAUGAAGAUAUGUAUGCAUUAUACCAUGUUUAGCACCACUUAAAUCCUCUGCAUGUACAAAUAAAUUACAUAUAUAUGUCGUCAGCUUCUAAUGGAUAACACUGUUGGCAAUGCAGGCUAGGCCUCAUAUUCUACCACUUAUUACUAGACGAUACAACAUUAAGCUCUUUGCUCUUUCUAGUGGAUGUACACAAUAAACAGAUGAGACUUCCCUCGAGAUCUAACAAUCUCUUUUAAGAACAAUCUAAGUCUACCAUAACUUUAUAAUGACCAGUUCACAAACAUAGACAGUCCGCCAUAUUAUAAUUUCAUAUACUCAAUACAUAACACAAUCAGUCAAUAGGAAUAUUUAAUUAGCUGUUUCAUCGUUCUACUUAAAAUUUUCUACCUUCAAGAGAAGAAACCCCUUUUAAAUGAUUUUGCACUCAGAUCACCAGUAGAAGGUGACUAAUAAAAUUCAACAAGUAGUCAAUUAGAAAGCAACAGUAUCCACAACAAUUCAUGGUGUUAGGCACUUCCAGCAUUGAAAGAAAAGAAAGAACUAUAAGAAGCUUAAAACCAUCAUCCUCAUAUAAUCUCUAGCUAUCUCAACAGCAACAUAUUGAACCUCACUCCGAAUGCCUUGAUUGGUUACUAGUGUAAUAACAUGAGGAAAAAACUUAAUUAUUAUAUAUGUAUUACAAUAGUUAGCCAUAGAAUAAGGAAUAGUUGGUACAAAUUUAAACAUAAAAUUAGAAAGAUGAGUAAUAACUCUUGAAAAAAUAAGACCUCUUCAAAAUAAACGAACAAUUUUCCUUCUCUUUGCUAAAAAUAAGUCAUGGGACUGACUAAAUAUUACCAAUUGAAUUAGUUUAUUGCCAACACAUAAAUUAAAACUUGUGUAAAAAAUAAUACUCCUAUCAAACAUAGCAUAAGUUACAUGAAGUGCAUGACCUAUUUAUAAUCAGUGUGAAUGCAUAAUUUCCACUGUUCAUUGGUGCAAGAAUGUCAACAAUGAAAGGUAACUCAUUGAUCAGUCCAUAAAAUUUUAAGGCUUCCAUCUCUCACUUGUACUAUAUCUUUACCACACAUCCCAACAUAGCAUAGCUUUCAAAGAAUUUCUCGACGUAAAAGAUGCAAUGUAAAUUUGCUACAAUCUAAACAACAGAGCCAGAAGUUUUAUCAGCCACCUUAUACUCAUGCUCUCUUAAGUGGAAACACAAUCAUUGGUGUCCUAAGUUGUUGGUAAAAUAUAUAUAUAUGGGGUCCAUUAUUCACACAAAAAAACAAAAACGAAAAAACAAGUUUGGCAAAUUAUCGUCAGAUAUUUGCUUCCUCCAAUGUUGCAAAAUUGUGAUAUGACAAUAUCAACUCCAGCCACUACUAUAUUGGAGCUUGCACAAGUAUACUGUCAUAAUAUGACUCAAGUAUUUUAACACCCCUCAUCAAAUAAGUGCUGCCUACUUCCUACUCCUCAACUAAACUCUUUUCAAUUAAAAAUAACUAGAAACUGCAAGUAACAUACAUAACAGAUCAUCUAAAACGAUCUAGCUAAUUAAUGUCACUAUUGAAGUCUAUGUUUCUUCAACUCUUCAUUUUGCUUGAAGUACUUGUUCCAACACAUAGUCAUACACAGGUACGGGGAUAUGACUACCCACGGACCCUCCAAAAACAUGGAGAAACUUAAAAAAAGAAUUCGGACAAAAUGCCCGUAUCUGGUACUCGCACCAAAUUCCAGUAAAAUAGAUCAAUGUAAUCAGUUAUUGUGCUGGAUGAAUCUGAUAUCAUACAAAAUAAUAAAGUAGCCCAAGGAAACAACUGAUUAUUCUUGCCAGGUGCCACCAACAUUUUCCUACCAGAGAGCAACUAAAAGAACAUGGGUAAUCAUUUUGAUUACUUCCAUGGAAAACUUUCUCAAACAGAACUUCUUUAUGAUACAAUCCAAAGAGAUAUGGGUUCUCUAAUCUCAGUUUUGUUUAUUUAUUGCUUUUUUAGUACAAAUUAAAACACCAAGAAAAAAAAAUAUUAACUUUGUAACACUUCCAAUUGUAAUAAUCUAUAUAGCAAAACAGCAUCAAGGCACACGGAGCAAGUGGAAUGGUAAAUUAUUUGGAAUUCAUUAUUUUAUAGAAUUAACUAUAAACACUCUUAGUAUAUUAUAAAGUAUGCCAAGACAGAAACUUGAUCCAGCUUAUCAGAUCAAAAUCCAAUGAUUAAAGUGAAAAAAAAAUCAUAUUUUACCAAUGAGAUUACUAUUUUAAUGAUAAAUAGAAAGUCACCCCCAUUAAACAAGGAAGCAUCUUAAUGAAGAAAACUUGAAUGGGUCAUUAAAAGACAUCAGAUUUCAAUUAAAAAACAAACAAACAAACAAAAAAAACCUAGGAUACAACAGCCGAAAUAUGUAGGAAUAGUUGUUGAAGGACAAUUCAAUAAAAUAUGGGUCCCAAAGCCAAAUAAAUAGGAGACAGAGAGAGUCUACAAGUGGGGACUGACCUUGACGAGACACUGCAGACAUUGUACUGCAAAAAUUCAUCUCCAUGAAUUGAAUUGAAGAUUAUCCUUUUGAUGAAGGCCCCAAAGAAGUUAUUUACACAGCUUACAUUUGUUAUGAUUUUUUAAAAAAUUAAAACACACACACACAAUUUUGGUGUG